UUUAAUAUAUUCCACCUAAUAUGUUUUUCCUUUUAAAAUUUUAAUUCAUUUUAUUCUUCCUGCUUAAUUUUCCUUCUUCUUCUUCCCUGGUUUUUGUGUUGCUUCUCCUUCUACUUCUUUCUGGGUCCCCAAAAUCCUGUGUCAACAGUUUAACACAGAGCUCAAAGACCCAAAAACAACUUCCGCCAGCACUUUUGCUCUUUUAAAAGAGUAUAUCGACGUCCAUAAAUUAACCUCUUCAUUUCGUCAAAUUUUUGCAGGAGUUGAACCACUAUAUUCAUAUAAUAUCAUUUCUACCUAGGGGAAUAAAGCAUAUCAUAAUUGAUGACAUUAUCUAAUUUCACAACUCUAAACUAUUGCAACCAAAAAAAAAAGGAACAGAAGAUUAUCCGUUCCUUCUCUUCAAAAUUUAAGAAUCGGCAGAAACCCAAUUUGAUAGAGAAAUAAGUGGAUAAAAAUCUCAGUUUUUAUUUUUAAAUUGUUUUUAAUCAGAUCAGAGUUCCUCUCUCUGCUCCAAGACUAAAUCCAAUUCCAAUUCCAUCUAAAGAGUAGAACAAAAUUAUUCAGUUUACAUACCCCCCCCCAAAAAAAAAAAAACCACUAAAUAUAUACAUCUAUAUAAUAUAAAGCAGAUUCAAUCAUUACAAACUAAUUCAACAGAAUAAACCUCAAAUAUCAUAGCUGGAAAAAAAAUUCAACAAAAAGAAACGAAUGCAAAAAUGAUACGCAUGUGAUCAGAGGAAAUGGAAGAGCAGACGUACCUUUCAUCGAAUAACACCGCUCCUAGGAUCAUCACCAUAUCUCUUUUAUUUUUGUUUCCGAGAUCAUAUAAGUUGCUGUUUUGUGUCGUCAAUCAGCGUUUUCUUUCCUUUUUUUUUUUUUUUGAUUUGUUUGUUCAUUGUGCGUUUCAGUUCGGGUGGGAUGGAGUUUUGGAAUUCACAUUUUACAUUUAAGAGAAAUUAUCCAUCUAUUAUGUCCAGAUUCUUGAAGCAGUUCUUUUGAAGAAUAACAUUCAAAUAUUUUAAAAAAGAAACGAAACAGGUGAAGUUAUCCAUCUAUUAUCAUAUUCCUUAAGCAGUUUCCUUUACAUGUUGAUUUUGGCUGCAGUGGUUACAGAGAAUGAUUUCAGCUUCAAAGUUUGUUAACGGUGGAAGUUUAUUUGAAGAAGAAGAGAAGAAAAAAAACGGAGAAGAAGAAGGUGGAGAAUAUUAAAGCCAUUUCGCAUGUCCAGGCAGUGGCGGAACUCUGAAGUUUAUAUCUAUUUUAUAAAAUAAAAUUUCGGCCACACAUAUGUCAUAAAUCCAAAAAUGUUUAUGAAAAUUGAAAUCUUAUUAUAAAAUUAAAAUUUUUAAUUGUCAUGGUCCAAACCAAGGAACAAAAAUUGAAUGUUAUACAUUAAAUCGAAAACAUACAAAUAAGGGGUGAGUGAAAACAUAAUGAUAGUUUGACAAUUUAAAGAUAAAACCAAAGAAAUGGU
rnacentral:lncRNA from 1 species